rnacentral:rRNA from 1 species
UACGGGGGGGGCAAGCGUUGUUCGGAAUUACUGGGCGUAAAGGGCGCGUAGGCGGCCUGCUAAGUCGGACGUGAAAUCCCUCGGCUCAACCGGGGAACUGCGUCCGAUACUGGCGAGGCUUGAAUCCGGGAGAGGGAUGUGGAAUUCCAGGUGUAGCGGUGAAAUGCGUAGAUAUGCGGAGGAACACCGAUGGCGAAGGCAAUCCCCUGGGCCUGCACUGACGCUCAUGCACGAAAGCGUGGGGAGCAAACAGG